UAAGACGAAGGUGGCAAGCGUUAUUCGGAUUUACUGGGCAUAAAGCGCGCGUAGGCGGCUCGAUCAGUCGGGGGUGAAAGCCCGCAGCUCAACUGCGGUGUGCCUUCGAUACUGUCGAGCUCGAGUGCAGGAGGGGUGAUUGGAACUCCAGGUGUAGCGGUGAAAUGCGUAGAUAUCUGGAGGAACACCAGAGGCGAAGGCGAAUCACUGGACUGCAACUGACGCUGAGGCGCGAAAGCUAGGGGAGCAAACAG
rnacentral:rRNA from 1 species